rnacentral:rRNA from 1 species
ACGUAGGGGGCAAGCGUUAAUCGGAAUUACUGGGCGUAAAGCGUGCGCAGGCGGUUCGGAAAGAAGGAUGUGAAAUCCCAGGGCUCAACCUUGGAACUGCAGUCUUAACUAGCGGACUAGAGUAUGUGAGAGGGGGGUAGAAUUCCGGGUGUAGCGGUGAAAUGCGUAGAUAUCGGGAGGAAUACCAGUGGCGAAGGCGGGCUCCUGGGUCAUGACGGACGCGGAGGCGCGAAAGCGAGGGGAGCGAACGG